rnacentral:lncRNA from 1 species
AUCAGCGGACAAGACACCCCCGUUUCCUGGACUCCUAGGGGCAGAGCCCUGUGAGAGGAGGAGGCACCACCUCUUCACCUAUUCGCUGGACUUUGCCUAGUUCGGGCCGGGCAGGUCCGGGCAUCUCGGCCCCACAGGCUUCUAGGGAGGAGGAGGGGCACACUUCUUUGUGACGUUUACCAGAAAUGGGCGUGGCCAACGGAGAGACCUCUCCCACAGGAGAAGACACCAUCUGCAAGCCAGGAUGAGGGGUCUCAGAAGAAAUCAACCCUGCCAACACCUGAGCUCACACUUCCAGCCUCCAGAACUUAGGGAGAACACCCAAGGAAUGGGACGGUGCUGUCAAGAGGACAUGGAGAAGAAAACUCUUGAACCAAGGAGGACUUAGAAACACGGAGGAGGACCUGGAUGUGCCCCCAUUUAUGAUGGCGCUAGAGCCAGUGGCUUCUCUCUUGCUCGCUCUAGCUGUCUUUUCUUAAGCUCUGGGAAAGUGGUAUUUAGCUCUCAAUUUCCAGGGCUCUCAUUCUAUAUUUUGCCCCAGGGUUGUCACUAAAUCCAGUUUGGUCAGCAUUAGCUAAAGAAGUCUUUUCCAGCUUUAUGACCAGGAAUGUCUUUUCUUAUGAACCUGGGACUCAUCCUUUUGGAAUAUCGUUUACAAGGAAGAUGGCUGCCCUCUCUCCCAGCUUCUGUGAAAAGAUUUGGCUUCUGACACACUCAUUGCUUUGGAGAGGAUGGUUAAGUCAGAAAAAAGACUUUUGAGACUCAAAAUUCUGGACCCCGAUUCUGCUUGGAGCCAAGAUAAAGUUGUGUUUGCUCCAGGUUAUCGGCAUUGUGCCUGCACUGAAUAAAAACAAGCAGCUCCAACUUCUCAGGGCUGCUCUCUGGCCACUAGAGCCAGGCAGUCACCUAGCUGCUGUUAUGCUGCAUACCUGUCUCUGAGUACUCGCUUCAUCCAUCGGCCAGGGUCUGUGGGACAGACCAGGCAGGUGGUGCCCCAUGUGAGGAACGCUGCAAUGGAUUGCAAGGGAACCCCUGAAAACAAAUGUGAAGUGACUGAGCAGUGUUAACCUUAGAAGACUAGAACCUAAUGAGUUAUGGCAAACAGAUGUUAUGCACGUCCCUGAAUUUGGAAAACUAAGCACGAGGCAUCAAACCAUACCAUGGCAUGGCUAGGACCCAACCCGGUACCAAAAUGAAGAAAAUGACCCUACAGGACCCACAAUCCCGGAUGAUGUGGCUUCCUUGGAUGACACAGGCCCUGGACAUUACCUGGGGGAUGCUGAAGAAGACAACUCAGGAGGCCAAGCAAAUCCUGCUCCAGGCACAGACACCAUUCACUCCAGGAAGCUGCCAUUCAUUCGACAUAAGUAGGUGCUUCAUCUGAUAAGCGCUGCUUGUGUAAUUUAUCAAUGACAGAGAAGGCAGAUAGCAGCAUGCAUACUUGGGGCUGCAUUUGAAGGAGAGCAACAUCCCUUUGUUUUCACAGAGGAGAACAAGCAUGAGUUGAGAUUGUGGUGCUUCUUGAAGUCUCAUCCAGAUCAGAAACCUGCUGCUCUGUCCACAUUCCAUCCACCAAAGCAACCCAUAUGGCCAUGUCCAGCAUCAGAUGGGGAAAGGCAGUUCUCCUCUAGCACGAGGAGCUGCAAAGCCACAUGGCAAAGGAUGAGUGUGUAAAAAAUAAAUGCAGGAGGGCAGGAGGCAUUGGGAACAAUGA